rnacentral:rRNA from 1 species
ACCACGUCACGUUGAAACACUAGUUCCCUUACAAUCACCAAAGUUAAGCAACAUUGAGCCUGGUCAGUACCUAGAUGGGUGACUUCUUAGGAAUAGCAGGUGC